GAAUCCACAAUUUUGGGUCCCAAUAUUUGUGAUGAUUAAGGUUUUGUAUAAGUCCAUUAAUUACAUGGGAUGUCAUCUUUGUCAAUCUCAAUUUGGUGGACGGUUUAAGUUUUCUUUUCCAAUUGCAAAUAUUUACAAAAAAAAAAAAAAAAAAUCGAAGAAAUACUCUAUAUAAAGUUGUAAGAUAAAUGAUCACACUGCUUAAGCUCACACCAACACCCCAUAAAUCCCCCACAAGCUAGUUAUUAGGUAUUUUUUAGUAUAUUCAAAGCGUAAACAUUAGUAUAAUUUUGUGAUACUAUACAAUUUAUACAUAUUGAAAUUCCUAACAUUUGAC
rnacentral:lncRNA from 1 species